rnacentral:rRNA from 1 species
AACGUAGGAGACAAACGUUAUCCGGAUUUACUGGGCGUAAAGGGCGCGUAGGUGGCGGGACAAGCGUGCGGUGAAAGCCUGGGGCUCAACCCCGGGUCGGCCGUGCGAACUGUUUUGCUUGAGCACUGUAGAGGCAGGCGGAAUUCCGGGUGUAGCGGUGGAAUGCGUAGAGAUCCGGAAGAACACCGGUGGCGAAGGCGGCCUGCUGGGCAGUAGCUGACACUGAGGCGCGACAGCGUGGGGAGCGAACGGG